CGUCAGACGUGCGUUCUCCUGAAGCGGAGUUGGUCCUUCAGGCCGCCUCUGUGCGCCUGAGGCUCCCCUCCCGCGUCGCCCCCGCUCCGUUAGGACCCUCGGCCAGGUCGUCCCGCACCUCACCCCACGCUCGGUCAUCAGUCCGGGCGACUAACCCACGAGCGGUCUUGAAUAUUGAUACUUUCACCAGUUUCAAAAACCGGUUGCAUCCAGUUCCAUUCCCAUCCCUGACAGGUAACAGUGUUGUCAGUGGCCUGGGCAUCUCCAGCAUUUAUGCAAGCACAAACAAAUGCCGACAGCGCUGCAGGGAAUGCAGCACGGCACUGAAUGACCUUACUCAUGUGUCCUACUUGUGCAGGUACAACUGGAGGGUGAAUGCCCAGAAACGGGAAAUACACUGGAGCAACUCCAUACAAGUUGAAUCACUCAGCACUCACCUGUAACAGUAUUUUAAAUGUCAGUGUUUAUAGUUUCAAUUUAGAUAUUAAAGACAUGUUUACUUUAAA